rnacentral:lncRNA from 1 species
CACCGCAUUUAAGCCCCGCCCCCUUACAUCACCCCUAUUCCUUUCCCAUUACAUCACCCCCCUUAGCCACGCCCCCAUUACAUCAUCCCAUCCCUUUCCCAUUACAUCACCCCCCUUAGCCACGCCCCCAUUACAUCACCCCAUCCCUUUCCCAUUACAUUACCUUCUUUGGCCACGCCCCCAUUACAUCACCCCUAUUCCUUUCCCAUUACAUCACCCCCCCUUAGCCACGCCCCCCCAUUCCACCAUUCAUUCUUUUAACCCCUCCCACCUUUAAGCCACGCCCACACAGGUGUGUGGGCGUGUCCGUAGUGAAGCCCCGCCCCCCCUGUGACGUCACGCAGGUGUUCCAGGUGAACGUGACGGCGGCGGCCAUGUUGGUGCGGCUGGUGGUGCCGCACAUGGAGAAGCGAGGGUGACUGGGUUAUACUGGUUUAUACUGGGUUAUACUGGUUUAUACUGGUUUAUGCUGGUUUAUACUGGUUUAUACUGGGAGGGAAAAAAUGGUGAAAAAUUGGGCGAAAAUUGGGUUCAAAAUGGGGAAAAAACGGGUUAAAAAUGGGGGAAAAUUGGAAUUUGGGGUUACUGGGUUAUACUGGUUUAUACUGGGUUAUACUGGUUUAUGCUGGUUUAUACUGGUUUAUACUGGGAGGGGAAAAAUGGUGAAAAUUGGGCGAAAAUUGGGUUAAAAAUGGGGAAAAAAAAAGGGUUAAAAAUGGGGGAAAAUUGGAAUUUGGGGUUACUGGUUUGUACUGGUUUAUACUGGGUUAUACUGGUUUAUACUGGGUUAUACUGGUUUAUACUGGGAGGGACUGGGAGGGGAAAAAACGGUGAAAAUUGGGUGAAAAAUGGGUUUAAAAUGGGGAUUUUGGGGUUACUGGUUUAUACUGGUUUAUACUGGUUUAUACUGGUUGGGGAUUGGGGGUUACUGGUUUAUUCUGGUCCAUACUGGUUUGUACUGGUUUGUACUGGGAUUGGGAUGAACUGGGAUGAACUGGGAUGAACUGGGAUGAGAUUUGGUGUCACUGGGACGAACUGGGACCCCAU